GAGACCCGAUCGGUGUGUAAAUAAAAGACCUGUUACUUCCUGAAGACUUGUGUCCAUAUCUCUAUGUGUGGCUUCUGUGGUUUGUUCCUGUUAUUCCACCGGUAACAACAGUUAUAUAUAAAUGUAGGUGCUGGUUGACUACAGGGUUACUGAGUUCUAGAUAAUAUGCGUAAUGUUAUUUUCAGUGUGAACUGUCAGGAAUUUAAGUUAAUUAUUAAUUCUAGGCCAAAAUAGCUGAAAAUAUAGCUAACUUGGAGAAUUUUUCCUGAUCAGCUAUUGUGGCCUGAAAUUCACUUUGAAUUACCAGCAUUUCACAAUUGAGUGAAUAACUGUGCCAGUAUUCUAGAACUCGGUCACCUUUAACAAAAAUGAUCUAUUUUUUUUAUUUAGCGCUACAAACCUGUGCAGUGUAUCUAAGUGACAAGAAAGUUACUGAUUAUGCAGUAAAAUUAUGGAAAAUAAAACAUAAAAUGUGAUCCUGUUUGUGAAAGCUACCCCAUUACGUUUGAUGUUUUCUUCUACAUGUGACACACUACAGGUAAGGUUUUAAGGGUGUCUUGCACUUUAUAAAGUUUACCCAACUGCCUUGUUGACUUUCUUGCAUUGUUGAUAUAGACUACACAUCACUUGAGCUUGUGCAGUAGAUGUUAUGGUGGCAAAGUAAUUGCGGUACCUCAGGAUAAAAUGGAGGUGGGGGAAAUGGUAACGUUUGAGAUUUAGAUGCUCGCCAAUGGCGAGUAUGUGCAAAAACAUAACAACGUGAUGUAAGCAGAAGGUUUCAAUUAACUGAGUUCUGCCUUAGAUCUUUUGCUGCACCAUUUUCUUAUGCCUGAGGAAGGAUAAGCUACAGUAAGUAUGGUCACACCUCAGGUGUAGGUAGCCAGGUAAGUAUGGUCACACCUCAGGUGUAGGUAGCCAGGUAGGUAAGGAAGGAUAAGCCACAGUAAGUAUGGUCACACCUCAGGUGUAGGUAGCCAGGUAAGUAUGGUCACACCUUAGGUGUAGCUGAACAAUCCUCUUCCUAGUCCCUAGGCAAACUCCAGGCAGGGUAAGGUAUGGCUGCACUCUCCCCUCCGUUCGCUUCUACCUUCAUCCCAUGUCUCCUUCCCCCUUCCAUCCAUCUGUCUCCUUCCUUCCAUCCAUAUCUCCCUCCCCUCUCCGUCCAUAUCUCCCUGCCCUCUCCAUCCAUAUAUCUCCCCCCAUGCCUCCCUUCCAUAUCUUUCUCCCCCUUAAAUCAUGUCUCUCCUCCCUUCCAUCCAUACCACCCUCCCCCUUCCAUCCAUGUCUCCUUUCCAUUCAUACACCCCCAUGUUUCAGCCUUUCUUUCAUAUCUCCACCCAUGUCUCCCUUCCAUCCAUAUCUCCAUUCCAUCCAUAACGCCCCUCAUGCCUUCCUUCCAUAUCUACCCAUAUGCCUCACUUUCAUCCAUACCAACCUUUUCCAUCUAUGCCUCCAUGCAUCCCUCCAAUCCAUAUCUUCCUCCCCACUUCCAUCCACGUCUCUCCCUCAUAUAUCCUUUCCAUCUAUAUCUCCCCCAUGUCUCUCCUCCCUUCCAUCCAUGUCUCUCCUCCCUUGCAUCCAUAGCCCCCUUCCUCCAUUCAUGUCUUUCCCCCUUCCAUCCAUAUCCCCAUGUCUCUCUUCCAUCCAUUUCUCUCCCCCAUGUCUCCCUUCCAUCCAUAUUCCCCCUUCAUCCAUGCAUGACUCUCCCCCUUCGAUAAGACUCCCCAUAUCAACCUCCCCCUUCCAUAUCUCACCCAUGUAAACCCUCCCUUCAAUAUCUAUCCCCAUGCCAACCCCCUUCCAUAUCUCUUCCCAUGCCAACCCCCCUUCCUUAUCUCACCCAUGUAAACUCUCCCUUCCAGAUCUCUUCCCAUGCCAACCCUCCCUUACAUCUCUACCAUGUAAACCUCCCCUUUCAUAUCUCUCCCCAUGCCAACCCUCCUUUCCAUCUCUCCCAUGUAAACCACCACUUCCAUAUCUCUCCCCAUGCCAACCCUCCCUUCCAUAUCUCUCCCAUGUAAACCCUCGCUUCCAUAUCUCUCCCCAUGCCAACCCUCCCUUCCAUCUCUCCCAUGUAAACCCCCACUUCCAUAUCUCUCCCUAUGCCAAUCCUCCCUUCCAUAUCUCUCCCCAGGCUAACCCUCCCUUCCACAUCUCCCAUGUAAACCCCCACUUCCAUAUGUCUCCGCAAGCGAAUCCUCAUUUCCAAAUCUCUUCCAUGUAAACCCCCACUUCCAUAUCUCUCCCCAUGCCAACCCUCCCUUCCAUAACUCUCCCAUGUAAACCCCCACUUCCAUAUCUAACCCCAUGUCAGCCCCCCUUCCAUAUCUCUUCCCAUGCCAACCCUCCCUUCCAUAUCUCUCCCCAUGGUAUCCCUCCCUUCCAUAUGUCUCUCCAUGGUAUCACUCCCUUCCAUAUCUCUCCCAUGCCAGCCCCCUUCCAUAUCUCUCUCCAUGCUAUCCCUCCCUUCCAUCUCUCUCCCAUUCCAGCCCCCUCCAAUAUCUCUCCCUAUGCCAAUGCCCCCCCCCCUUUCCAUUAAUGUCUCCCACCUUAUAUCUCCCUCCCUCUUUUCCAAGCAGCAAUCGGAUGCUUCACUUACAGAGCUGGUGCUACCUUCAACUUGGCUUUCCUCACUUGCAGAUUGAUGGCAGGGGAUGGGGGCGGCUGUGUCUGUGUCAAGCUGAGCACCUGGUAGUCAAGCAGAGGGCACAACAAUCAGUACUUAACCUAACAAUUCAUUUUUGCGCCCCUUCUAAGCCUGCGUACCAGGUGGGCGCCGUUUUCGCCAACCCAUCGUAACGCCCCUGCAUUCUGUGCAGUGAAAUAUGCACAGAAUUGACAUUAGCAAGGCAGGAAUUGAUGACACCCCAAUUAUGUUGACCGAGGUGAAGAUUUACCUCUGGCAGCACAGGUUUUAAAAUUUGUAUCUGCAGCAUUUCAUAGCAAAUCACUGAAGUGAUGAUAGUACUCGAAGUAACCCAUCAACCCAUUCUAUGCAGGGUGGGGGAGAAAGCUACUACUUAAUAAAGAACAAAUUAUACAAGUAAAAGAGUGAGCACUGUAUUCUGAAUAAGCUUUAAUGUAUGACUUUUUUUUCUUUUAUGUACUUGAUAUACAUAUAUAUUUUUUACUGAACAUGGAGUUUUCAUUCGUUUAUAUCUCAUCACAAUUUUAAUAAUGCUUAGCGAGCUGCAUUUUCAACAUUGAACAUUAUGUGGAGGAAGUGGCUGACGUGACUGAUCAUAAGUUCAUUUCAGAUGAUACUCCACACAUAAAAAGCUGUGUCACAUUUCGAAGGCAGCCUACACAAGUGUGGGUUAGAAAAUUUAAAAGGAAAAAAUCACGUGCUUGCAUUUAUUUGCGUUUUACUUGCACCAUAACAUGAGAUGUACAGUUCGGUCUGGAAAUAUUUGGACACCGACACAAGUUUUGUUAUUUUGGCUGUGUACCAAAAUAAAUUCCAGUUACAGUUAAAUAAUGGGUUUAACGUGCAGCCUCCGCUUUAAUUUGAGGGUAUUCACAUCCAAAUUGGAGGAAGGGUUUAGGAAUUACAGCCCAAAUAUGUAGCCGCCUCUUUUUCAAGGGAACAUAAGUAAUUGGACAAUUGACUCAAAGGCUCUUUCAUGGACAGGUGUGGGCUAUUCCUUUGAUAUUUCUUCAUCAAUUAAGCGGUUAAAAGGUCUGCUGUUGUUUCCAGGUGUGGCAUUCACAUUUAGAAGCUGUUCUUGUGAACCACAACAAGCAUUCAAAGGAUGCAAGUGAAAUAGGCCAUCCUUAGGUUGCAAAAAAAAAAAAGUCCAUCAGAGAGAUAGCAGGAACAUUAAGUGUGGCCAAAUCAACGGUUUGGUACAGAAAAAAAGAAAAAGCCCUUCACAACAUCAUGUCACUCUUCAGGAGGUAGGCAUAUCAUUAUCCAAGUCUACCAUAAAGAGAAGACUUCACACGAGCAAGCACCACAAGGUGCAAACCAUUCAUAAGCCUCCAGAACAGAAAGUCCAGAUUAGACUUUGCCCAAAAAACAUCUAAAAAUGCUAGCCCUGUUCUGGAACAGCAUUCUUUGAAAAGAUGAAACUAAGAUCAACCUGUACCAGAAUGAUGGGGAAAAAAUAUGGAGAAGGCCUGGAGCCUCCCAUGAUCCGCAGCAUACCACAUUAUCUGUAAAACAUGGUGGAGGCAGUGUGAUGGCAUGGGCAUACAUGGCUUCCAAUGUCACUGGGUCACUAGUGUCUAUUGAUGAUGAGACAGUAGACAGAAGCAGGUUGAUGUAUUCUGAAGUGUAUGGGUAUAUCUUUUCUGCUUAGAUUCAGUCAAAUUAAGCAAAGUUGAUUGGAUGGCUCUUCACUUUAGAGAUAGGCAAUGCCCCAAAACAUACUGCGAAAGUAACCCAGUAUUUUUUUUUAUGCAAAGAAGUAGAAUUUUCUGCAACGGCCUAGUCAAAUGCCUGAUCUCAUCCCGAUCGAGCAUGCAUUUCACUUGCUGAAGACAUAAGUUAAAAAAGAAAGACCCACAAACAAAAAACAACUGUAUUAAAGACCUGGCAAAGUAUCACAAAGGAGGAAACCCAGUGCUUGCAAAGGAUUCUCGAGAAAGUAUUAAAAAUGUACAUUUUUAUUUAUCAUUGUGUUAAUUUGUCCAAUUAUAUUUGAACCCCUGCAAUAAAGGGACUGCGUAUGAAAAUGUUUGCAACUCCUAAACGUUUAUUACCAUAUUUUUGUUCAACCCCUUGAAUUAAAGCUUCCAUUGCAUCUCGGUUGUUUAUUUUCAAUUCCACUGUGGUGGCGUACAGAGCCAAAAUUAUAAAUAUUGUGUCAGUGUCCAAAUAUUUCUGGACCUAACUGUAUAUUUGAGAAUACAUAUAAUUCCAGGCAUAUAUGUACUUUAACAGUAAUAACUAUAAUGCCAGAUUCUAAUGUACAAAAUGAAGGAUAGGAAAGUGUAGUGUUAUGCUACCCUCUAGUGUGUAUAUUUCGUAGUGCAGCAUCUAGGACUGGAGAGGAAUAUUUAUUUAUUUAUGGCAUUCAACAUACUCCGCAGCCAGGGCCGGACUGUGAAAUAAAAGCAGCCCUGGAAAAAAAUUCUAUACCAGCCCAAUAAUGCGUCGCGCCAGCAUAGUGUGCAGAUAUAGAGGUGGAAGAGAUAACUUAAAAUUGAAAACUAUUACUCCAACGAAAGAGCGCAUAUAUGGCUUCAAAAUAAACAAAAGAGCGCCUUUAUUUUAAGCAGAUGUACAUUUGCAUGUAAUCAAUGUUUUAGUACAACUACUUUGGCCUAUUAAGGACAUUUUAGUAAUGGCACUGAAAUGCUGAAUGUCUACGGUUGCACAACUGAAAAAAAAAUGAAGGGCUCUUCACUUUGAAUAUGUUAUUGUGCAUGAGUAUGCAACUAGCAACAAGACUGGGCCAAUACAUGCUCAUUGCAUAUAUAAAUAUUAAUGACAUUUAUGUGUGUAUUAUGCAUAUAUAAAUGUAUAUUAAUAUAUGUGUAAAUAUUAUAGGCAUAAUUAUAUGUUACUAAUACACACAUUAAUAUAUAUAUAUAUAUAUAUAUAUAUGUGUGUGUGUGUGUGUGUGUAUUACUGUCAGGAUCACAUCAAUUGCGUCUAUUACGUUUACUUCGUUUAGUGUAUCUUGUCUCCAAUUGUCUCCUUUUUUUCUCUUACAGCGACCCUUGUGCAUCUUUUACUUCAUCCCAGCCCCUGUGUGUCUUUUUACCCUUCUCCAGCCUCUCUAUGUCUCUUUCCCCCAGCCCCUUUGUCUCUUUCUCCCCUUCCAAAUCUAAUCUGUGUGUCUCUUUCCAGCUCCAGACUCUGUGUGCCACUUUCUCUUAUCCCAGCCACUCUAUGUCUCUUUUUCCCCAGCCCAGCGUUGCCUCCCACAAAUCUUGUGUCACUUUGUUCCCCUUCCCUACUGUAUGUCUCUUUGUCCCCCCAACACGCCUUCUGUGUGUCUCUUUCUCCACUCUCCUCCCUGUGUCUCACUUCCCCAUCUCUUCCCUGUGUCUCUCUCUUACCCCUGUCUCUUUGUCCCCCUUCCCCUGUGUCUCUAUUACUCCUCUGUCUCUUUGUCCCCCCAUCCCCUGUGUCUCUCUAUUACCCUUCUGUCUCUUUGUCCCCCCCCCUUCCCUGGUGUCUCUCUAUUACCCCAUCUGUCUCUGUGUCCCCCCUUCUCCUGUGUCUUUCUAUUACCCCUCUCUUUGUCCCCCCAUCCCCUAUGUCUGCCCACCCGGCAGCACCGACAUGCGGCCAGCGGCCGCGAUAUUAUUAAAAUAUAGGGAGCAGGGCUCCCUCUCUAUAUGCAGCUCCCCAGGUGCUGCGGCCCACCGGAAAAUUUCCCGGUAUCCCGGUGGGCCAGUCCGGCCCUGUCCGCAGCGCUGUACAAUUGGAAAAAAGACAAUACAAUAUAAACAGACCGAUAAAAAAGGUAGAGGGCCCAUCCCAUGAGCCGACAAUCUAAUGUAAUAUAAUUAUUAGCUAGUAGCUACUGAAUGCUGUUUGAUGACUUGGUACCCUGAUCUGGUUUAUCUAAUUAUUUAUUUGCCACCAAGAGUUAAGAGGUGAUAUUUAUAAAGAACAAUGAGGAAAUAUAAAAUAAUCUACGGCACAAUUAAAUAAGCAAGAAAUAAACCAAAAUAUUGUCUUUGGCGCAAUAAAAGUGCACUAUGCAAUUUUACAAUUAUGCACAGAAUACAACGUAAAAUAUCAGUAUUACCUUAACCCCUUAAGGACCAAACUUCUGGAAUAAAAGGGAAUCAUGACAUGUCACACAUGUCAUGUGUCCUUAAGGGGUUAAAAGGCUUUAAAAACUGGUCAGGAUACUCUCAGAAUUGGUAUAUAUAAAGUGGAUCAUAUAACGAGAAAAACAUAAAAAGAAAGAAAUAUAAUAGUGCAGUAUUUACUGUAACAAUAACAGUUUUAAAACAACCAAAUGUAAACUUACAAGAAUGUAUGUACAAAAAGAUUUGUGCUAUAUGAGCAUUGUCCACCAGGGGGCCACUUCUUUGGCAAACAUAUACCGUCCUCAGGAUCUAUGUAGUAGCAACUGGCUGGAAAGGCACUGUUUAUUCUGUAUAUUUCAUUCACCAGAAUUUCAGGUCACCAUAGUCCUUGUAGUGCGUUCGUCUGUUUGGGUUCGCUCGACAUGUUUCAUCCUCAUUCAGAGUUUUUUCAAGAGCUGCGAUUCCCUUAUGAGCGUUCGGCUUCUUAUAACCGAAUGAAUUGGUUUCUGCGCCUUCCAAUUGACAACUUCUACGUUUGCGGCUUUUCGUUGGUGACGUUAUCGCGUUUAGGACUAAACAGCUGAGCUCGAUUUUUUGUUUCUUUUUUCCACCAACUUUAUAGACAUUGUCCAGAAAGGGCAAUAUAUUAAAUAAGCAAAUCCAAUGCCCCUUACCCAAGAGAGCAUACAUGAAAGAAGACUUCAUACAGGCUGUUAAACUAUCUGAUAAUCUCAGACCAGAAGUUUUCUAUAACCUCUUUUUAAAAUAUAGUUACAAAUAAAUAGAGGCUGAAACAAAGAUUCAAGACCAACCUUUAUAACAUUCUGCAAAUAGAAAAAUAAAGCUAUGUGUAUUAAAAAUGUAAACUCAUAUAAAUAUUAUUUAAGGAAGGUAUGUAGAAUCUUUUUAACCACUUGGUGGUGUCCAGUUUUUACGGUGUCCAAAUUGUCAGGUAUUUGCCAAGAUUUAAAUCUCUGAACGGAUACCAUAAAUGACCACUUGAUGGCUCCAGUUGAUCAGUAAUGAAAGGUGUCUUGCUAAUAGAUCUCCAAACAGGGAUAUAUUACACAAACUCUUCCCAAGGGUAAGGAUCCAAAUAAAUGUGCAAAUUUUCAGCUUAUUUUGUUGCUCAAUAAUGAUACUAAAUUGUACGCCAAAGUUGUGGCUACUAGCUUGGCCAAAAUAAUCCCUAAACUUGUUAAAAACACUCAGGUUUGAUUUGUGUUAGACAGGCAAGCUGCAGAUGGCACUUUUAUUUAAAAAUAAAAUACAAAUAAUAUAGUGUAAUAUUGUUUGGCGCAUAUAAAAUCAAACAAAAUGGAAAUAUUGCCUUCACGUUUUUAUUUAUGUAUAAUCUGGAAUGUGGCAUGCCAAGGCGGAGGGAAUAAAGUCCACCAGAAUCUUAUCAAUUUGAGGCCGAUUGUGACGAAAUGCGCAUCGUGACUUUCAUAGACUCGGUGUGCGGUCAUACCGACAUGGGGUGAUGCUGCACACUACGAUAUAUAUACCUCCUGCAGUUAUCUAUUAAAUGGUGAUCACACACUGAGAUCUAUCUUGCCCUUAUUAUUAUUUUUUUUUAUCCUUUCAUUUCUUUAUCUUUCACAAUAUUAAUUAUUAUCUACUCAAGCUGUUUUUGCACUAGUAGCCUAAGAAUGUUAAGAAUAGGGGGGGAAGGGACUUAAGGAUAGGUGCCCUCCAAGGCACAGAAUAGUAAUUAUACUUAUAGAGCUCAGGGAACUUAUUUCUAUUUAGAUAUCCCUAUCCAGCAGCUCUAUCUCUUCAGAUAGUCAUUGCUUUUGCUCCUAAGAUCUAGGACUUUUUUCAAAAUACAUUUUUCUAUCGCACUAAAGCGAGUUAAGAAUAGAUUUUGAUCCAGUGAUUAUCUAUGAUAUAUAGUUAUUCUAGAGCUCUUUUUAUCUGUCAUCCUUUGGUUUGGGCUACAUUUAAGUUACAUGUUAGGUUUAGCAAUAUUGAACGUUAUAAUUUAUUUUCAUUUAUGUGUAAAGGCUACAUAUUCUGUCAAUGAUAUUGGAGUAGGUCCCCACUUUUUUAGGCAAUAAUAAUAAAAGUUAUAUUUGAAUGUUUACAAGCCUGUAUUUUGCUCUGUGUAAUUUUAAGGUUUAAUAGGCUCAUAAAAACGUGAGUGCAAUAUUUUCAUUUUAUUUUAUAUGCUCCAGACAAUAUUGCACUAUAUUAUUUGUAUUUUAUUUUAUUUGUUUGGAUAAUAUGGAGCUAAUUGGAGAUCUACUUGCAAGACACCUUCCAUUACUUAUUAUCUGGUGUCAUCAAUGGCUAGUUUCUGGUAUCCAUUCAGAGUUUUAACACUUAUACUUAACAAUUUGGACACCUGAAAAUGUGAACACCACCGUGUGGUUAAAAAGAAUUGAUACAUACCUUAUAUUAUUUAUAUGUUUUUGCUACAUGUAUGUGUUUUUAAUUAUUGAUAGGCACAGCUUUAAACUAUUUUUCUACUUUGACUGGUUAAACAGAUAUCCAUUCUUUAAGCAUUGCUGCCUUCAUAGUGUAAACUAUUUUUCUUCUUUGGCUAUAGAGAUAUCCAUUCUUCAAAGGAACACUAUAGUCACCUAAAUUACUUUAGCUAAAUAAAGCAGUUUUAGUGUAUAGAUCAUUCCCCUGCAAUUUCACUGCUCAAUUCACUGUCAUUUAGGAGUUAAAUCACUUUGUUUCUGUUUAUGCAGCCCUAGCCACACCUCCCCUGGCUAUGAUUGACAGAGCCUGCAUGAAAAAAAAAAACCCUUUCAAAUAAUUGUAUCUCAAUCUCUAAAUUGAACUUUAAUCACAUACAGGAGGCUCUUGCAGGGUCUAGCAAGCUAUUAACAUAGCAGGGGAUAAGAAAAUCUUAAUUAAACAGAACUUGCAAUAAAGAAAGCCUAAAUAGGGCUCUCUUUACAGGAAGUGUUUAUGGAAGGCUGUGCAAGUCACAUGCCGGGAGGUCUGACUAGGGUUAAUAAACAAAGGGAUUUAACUCCUAAAUGGCAGAGGAUUGAGCAGUGAGGUUGCAGGGGCAUGUUCUAUACACCAAAACUGCUUCAUUAAGCUAAAGUUGUUCAGGUGACUAUAGUGUCCAUUUAAGCAUUGCUGCCUUCAUAGUGUAAACCUUUUUUAGCGCUGUAUUAGAUAUAUAUUUGUCUUUAAUACAUCCUGGUGUCUGCUGUUGAUCCAAAAGAAGGCAAAAAACAAAACAAAAAACACAAAAACCUUAAUUUGAAGCCAUUUCUAAUUGUGACACAAAACAUGGGGAGAAUAUAUUUGUUUAUUUUUAUUCCAAAAUGGAAAUAUAGUUCUCCUUUGACCAGUAAACUGUUAAUCCACAUAUUACAUUAUUAUAUCCUCUAAUUACCCUGACAAGCUCCAGGCGGGCUUUGGGGAGUACAUUUUUGGGUCUGGCAAGUAGCAUAGGACUUGAAAUUUAACCCCUUAAGGACUGAGCCAAAUGUACACGUGAUCAAAACAAAACGUAAACAAAAACUUGAAUUUGCACUAUAUGUCUGUUCAGGCGUAAUUCACCCCUUUUGUAUUAUGUGCAUCCACACUUAUUUUAUAUAAUUUUAUUUAGGGGAAACAGGGCUUUCAUUUAACAUAAAAUAUUUAGGUAUGAAACAUAAUUUAAUAUGAAUAAAAUAUUUUAAAAAAAACGUGACAUUCUAACUAUGAAUGUCAUAAUACUGUUUGCUUUUACUGCAAUGAAAUACACAUUUCCUGGCUAAUCAUGGCAGCAUCACUUAUGGGUUGGCUCCGCCCCAAUCAGGUACAGCACAGGAAAAAUCAAUUAAUCUGGACCCGACUGGGGUAUAAAAGGUCCCUCCUCCUUCCAACCCACAGUCUUUUUUCCUGUCCUUUCAGGACAAACAGGAUAAGGUUUUUUGGGGGGCCACCUUCCCAUGUGUACCAUGGGCCUCCAGAUGAAGUUCAGCCUCUCUUCAACUGAAGAACUCAGUAAUCAGGCUGCACAGGCAGGACUAACUGAGUUAGGUACAGAUUAUUAUCUGUACCAUGGAGUUGGAUAAAUGAUAUAUAAAUUAUAAUAUAAAUAAUUGAUGUGGGGUCAGCUGUAGCUUUAAAAAUUCCCCUGCUAAACAUCAAAACCCCCCUGAUCAGAAGGCAGAGUAUUAUGGAGAAGCCAGUAAUGCCUAUCAUCAAAACAGUAAGUCUUCACUUUGGUUUUCUUAUUAAGCUUUAGAUUCUCUUGUUUCAUCUUACCUGAGCUGUAUAAUCUUUGUGGGAGGCUCAGACUGCAUAAGUUUCUUCACCAGAGCCUGGGCUCUUCUGUGCUCGGUUUCCAGAGCAAGCGCAGUACCGGCGGCGUCCGGCGGGCGCUCUGUGCAUUCGUGCAUUAAUUUCGCCCUUAAAGGUAUAUCGCGCCAAAAAAUAAAAAGUUUUAAAAUUGAGCGGUUUUGCUGUUAAUAACCUCCCUGGUCAUCUGGUAACUAGGAAAGCUGCCUCUGAACAUCCAGAUUCUCUUUUAAGGUCCACACUGCUAUUAAGGAGGUCAUCCAGGAAGAAUGGAAUAGACCAGAGAGAAAGGUUACAUUAAAAAAUAAAACUCCCAGACUAUAUCCGUAUGCUCUAGAAGACUGCAAAUCGUGGAUUUCUGUUCCAAAAAUUGAUGCGGCAGUGAUCCAUAUGGCAAAAAGAACGACUCUUCCC